AUGACCCCCCCCCAAUACUUGGGGCCCUCGGUGGAUGCCCGGCCUCACCUCCACUCCCUUCUGCCAGGAAUGGCCGCCUACAUGAAGCAGAUGCUGGACCAGCACCACAGUGUCACGGGGCAGGUCCAGGCCCUUCAGAAUCAGCUGCAGAGGACAGAGGAGUCCCAGCACUCGACCCUGCGGGAGGAGCUGAGGGAGCUGAAGGAGCAGCUGGAGGGAGCGUUCCAGGCCAGAGAGAGAGAGAUUCGGGAGGAAGAGAAGCAGCAGAAGGAGAUCCUGGAGAGGAGGGCCACCCUGGAAGGAGCUGAGCUGAAAAAAGCCCUGGAAGAGGAGAGGAAAAGGGGCCGCCUGUUGCAAGCUGAACUGAAGGAGCUCUCCGAGGCCAUGGAAGGGAAAAGGGACCUGGAGAGGACGUUAAACACCAGGGUGAAGGAGAGUCUGGGGUCUUUGGAAGAUGCGAAGAGGGGAAAGGUAAUUGGGAGGGCAGCCUCCUCUGGGGCAGCUUCGGAGGGAGUGCAGGCCACGGCCAGUGGUGCCCCUCUGCCUCUUCCCUUUGCCAGGCGAUGGCAGAAGAGAAGCUGUCGGUCUGGGAGAGACGGCUGCAGGCCCUGGAGGCUGAGGCCGAGUCGCUGA
rnacentral:lncRNA from 1 species